GCGGGUGUAGUACAAUGGUAGUACGCGAGCUUCCCAAGCUUGAUACACGGGUUCGAUUCCCGUCACCCGCUCCA
rnacentral:tRNA from 1 species